rnacentral:rRNA from 1 species
CCUACGGGUGGCUGCAGUAACGAAUAUUGGACAAUGCGGGAAACCGUGAUCCAGCAAUGCCGCGUGCGGGAUGAAGCCCCUCGGGGUGUAAACCGCUGUCAGGGUCUACCAACACAAUGAGGAGACCCAGAGGAAGAGACGGCUAACUCUGUGCCAGCAGCCGCGGUAAUACAGAGGUCUCAAGCGUUAAUCGGAAUCACUGGGCUUAAAGGGUGCGCAGGCGGACUCGAAAGUGCUUUGUGAAAUCCCACGGCUCAACCGUGGAAUAGCUUGGCAUACUGCGAGUCUUGAGCUCGGCAGGGGUCGUCGGAACGCUAGGUGGAGCGGUGAAAUGCGUAGAUAUCUAGCGGAACGCCAAAGGUGAAGACAGACGACUGGGCCGACGCUGACGCUCAGGCACGAAAGCGUGGGGAGCAAACGGGAUUAGAUACCCGAGUAGU